ACGAGUUCACCCGCCGUCAUUUCGGGAUGCGCGUCCUUCACGCGCAGGCCCGGAAUCCAGAACGACUGGAUUCUGGGUUCGCUCGCGCCGCGGAAUGACGGAGGCGGUUAAAUCCAGUCCUCGGUCAAAGGCCGGUUAUCCAGCACUUCGGCGAUCCGCGCCCUUGUCCCUUGGGUGGUGUCGGAUGGCAGAUCUGCGACACUGAAAAAGCCGCAGGCCACGAUUUCGUGGUUGGGCUCAGGCAUCCGGUCCUGCCGGUACUGCCGCACGACAUAGACCGCGACAUGGUCGCG
rnacentral:misc_RNA from 1 species